rnacentral:rRNA from 1 species
CAAUAGCGUAUAUUAAAGUUGUUGCGGUUAAAAGCUCGUAGUUGGAUUUCUGCUGAGGGCGUCCGGUCCGCAUUUUGUGCGUGCAUCUGGUUCGGCCUUGGCAUCCUCUUGAAGUUUGUCGCUGCGCUUGAUUGCGUGGCGCGAAAUUCAGGACUUUUACUUUGAGGAAAUUAGAGUGUUCACGGCAGGCAAACGCCUUGAAUACAUUAGCAUGGAAUAAUAGUAUAGGACCAUGGUUCUAUUUUGUUGGUUUCUGGAGCCACGGUAAUGAUUAAUAGGGAUAAUUGGGGGCAUUCGUAUUAACACGUCAGAGGUGAAAUUCUUGGAUUGUGUUACGACGAACUACUGCGAAAGCAUUUGCCAAGGAUGUUUUCAUUGAUCAAGAACGAAAGUAAGGGGAUCGAAGAUGAUCAGAUACCAU